ACCUGGGUGGCUCAGCGGUUGAGCGUCUGCCUUUGGCUCAGGUCAUGAUUCUGGGGUCGUGGGAUCCAUUCCCACAUCAGGCU
rnacentral:tRNA from 1 species